rnacentral:rRNA from 1 species
CAGCAGCCGCGGUAAUACAGAGGGUGCAAGCGUUAAUCGGAAUUACUGGGCGUAAAGCGCGCGUAGGUGGUUUGUUAAGUUGGAUGUGAAAUCCCCGGGCUCAACCUGGGAACUGCAUUCAAAACUGACUGACUAGAGUAUGGUAGAGGGUGGUGGAAUUUCCUGUGUAGCGGUGAAAUGCGUAGAUAUAGGAAGGAACACCAGUGGCGAAGGCGACCACCUGGACUGAUACUGACACUGAGGUGCGAAAGCGUGGGGAGCAAACAGGAUUAGAUACCCCUGUAGUCCCUGUCUCUUAUAC